rnacentral:rRNA from 1 species
UACGUAGGGGGCAAGCGUUGUUCGGAUUUACUGGGCGUAAAGGGCGCGUAGGCGGCGCAACAAGUCACUUGUGAAAUCUCCGGGCUUAACUCGGAACGGUCAAGUGAUACUGUCGUGCUAGAGUGCGGAAGGGGCAACUGGAAUUCUCGGUGUAGCGGUGAAAUGCGUAGAUAUCGAGAGGAACACCUGCGGCGAAGGCGGGUUGCUGGGCCGACACUGACGCUGAUGCGCGAGAGCCAGGGGAGCGAACGGG